GUUCUUGUAGUUGAAUAACAACGGUGGUUUUU
rnacentral:tRNA from 10 species